AACUCUUAGCGGUGGAUCACUCGGCUCGUACGUCGAUGAAGAACGCAGCUAGCUGCGAGAACUAAUGUGAAUUGCAGGACACAUUGAUCAUCGACACUUCAAACGCUCCUUGUGGCCCCGGGUUCCUCCCGGGGCUGUGCCUGUCUGAGGGUCG
rnacentral:rRNA from 1 species